rnacentral:rRNA from 1 species
GACGUAGGAGGCGAGCGUUAUCCGGAUUCACUGGGCGUAAAGCGCAUGUAGGCGGUUGGACAAGUCGGGUGUUAAAGCCCCUGGCUCAACUGGGGGAGGUCAUGCGAGACUGGGCGACUUGAGGGCAAGAGAGGCACGUGGAACUCCCGGUGUAGCGGUGGAAUGCGUAGAGAUCGGGAAGAACACCAGUGGCGAAGGCGACGUGCUGGGUUGCACCUGACGCUGAGAUGCGAAAGUGUGGGGAGCAAACGGG